rnacentral:rRNA from 1 species
UGGGGAAUAUUGCACAAUGGGGGGAACCCUGAUGCAGCAACGCUGCGUGCGGGAUGACGGCCUUCGGGUUGUAAACCGCUUUCAGCAGGGACGAAGCGUGAGUGACUUUACCUGCAGAAGAAGCACCGGCUGACUACGUGCCAGCAUCCGCGGUGAUACGUAGGGUGCGAGCGUUGUUCGGAUUUAUUGGGCGUAAAGAGCUAGUAGGCGGUUUGUUGCGUCGAAAGUGCAAACUUAGGGCUUAACCCUGAGCCUGCUUUAGAUACGGGCAAGCUAGGGGAAGGUAGGGGAGAGUGGAAUUCCAUGGGUAGCGGUGCAAAGCGUAAAUAUAUGGAGGAACACCGGUGGCGAAAGCGGCUCUCUGGUCUGUAACUGACACUACUGUGCGAAAGCGUGGGGAUCAAACAGG